GUCUGACUCUGAAGUGGCAUUUUGAGAUUCCUGGUUCUGACUCCACUCCUAUCCCUGCAAAAGGAAUGGUUUUAUCUCAUGACCAAUUUUGACUGAAUGAAAUGGAUCACCGAGUGCAAACACAGGGCCAGAAGGCACUGGCUGAAUAGUCAUCAAUUCCAUUGGAUUCCUGCUGAAUAAGUCACAAUGCACUUUCUUGGGGGAGGAAGAGGAUCCUUAUGACUAGGCAUGUGCAUGUGAAUUGAUGCUCAAGAUGAGAAGACACACCUACAACUUCAGGAAAACUCAGUGGUUGUGUUCCCACUGCAUGAGAACCUUGCCAAGGAAGAUAAGUCUUCAGCCUGGCAGCCUAAGGCAUGCUUGAUCAUUUUGUUAUGUUAAUCACAUUUCAGUCUGAGUAUAGUGAUGAAGCCAUUAUACCUUGCAUGUGCAUAAUUCUGUGUUUAGUCAUCUCUAACCCCUGUUUCCAACCCCAGUGCAUCUUCUGCGAGGUGGAUCCUAUAAAGGACGUAAAAUGUCCUCUGCCAAAUACCUCCUAACACAAACUUAAACUUGUGACAAUAACUGUCAAACCAUAUUGAAGACAAACUGCUAUCAGUGGUUGUAAAUUCCUUUGCUUAGUCCUGCAAAGCUUAGGUUAAAAUUUUGAGCUUCAUGCUUUUGGAGUUUUGGUUUUCUCAGAUGUGAAACAAUUUUGGAAAUGAUUUAUUUUCACACCUGAGAUCACCAUGUGUCUCAGCCUCAGAAUAAAACUUAGUUCUUUGUUUGUCUUACAUCUUCACAGUGAGUUCUGAAGUGUUUGUCUAUACAGUGCUUUCCCCUAUAAAUAUCCUCAGCAGAAAGCAGACAACUAGCUUUGCAAGGUUAUUUUCUUCUUGGUGAGAAUUUUAUCUAAAACAUGUGAAGUUUUUUGUUAGAUGGUAGAUCAGGAUACACAUCAAGGCAAACCUAUAUAGCUUCUUUCCAUAGUGGAGAUAGCAGGUACCAUGUCAGUAUUGGUGCACCUUGCAGCAGUUUACAGCACAAUAUCUGUACUGCAGGGUUCUGCUUACCUAUGAGAAAUAAAACCCUGCUGCUGGGAAGCUUCCUCAUCAUUAUGGACCUCAUCUAAGUUCCUUGUGGGACAUAUACAGCCUGAAUAGGUUUUAAGCACUGUGCUUAUGCCUUCUGCUACACAUCUUUCUUAGUGAAAAUUAGUUGUGUGAAUUUUCACAUACACUUCACGUACUGACUCUGCUUUAAACUCAUCAUUAACAUUAUUCUCCCUCUCAGAUACCUUGUGAAGGUCUUGUGAACUAGGAAAAAUGGCUGUUCUUUCUUUAAAAGUAGUAUCAUACCAUAACUUAUUUAUUGCUGUGUGGGAGCUGCAUCAGAGAUUCUAUUGCUAUCCUUGACGUUUUUGGCUUAUCUACCUGUUGCUUUCUUGAGUGCCAAAUCACUGUGGAGCCGCAGUCUGAGUGACAUUCAGCAGGCUCCCUUACCCUAAAUAAUAGCCUCCUAUCACUAAACCUGUUUAUGGAGCUAUUUGUAAGUUCAUGGAGGGCUGUGCCAAAAUUUUCUGUGGACUCCUUCCUCAUGAAAUGAUGAUAAAUGCCUCUCUCAUACAUGAAAUUUUAGAGUAAAUUAAAGAACCAUCAGAUUUAGUGAUGAUGGUAUUAUCUGAUUUCUGAGCUCUGGGUGGGUUUUUUAGUUGCACAGCUGACAUUGUGAUUCCUUUCAGCCUACAGGAUUUUCAAGCACCUAUCAUUUUUUUCCUCUUCUGGGUUACAUUUUAGGUUCAACAACGUGGAAUAGAUCUGAUAAGCUAAAACAUAUCUUCUUAUCCACUCACCACCUCACCAAAAGAAAUACUUGUGUGUCAGGAAUGGCAGUGAAAUAAGAAGUCAGGCUCUGCUUACUGCAGGAGCAGUGGGGGAGGCCACAGAGCUGAACAGUGAUGAGCAGCCAGGUGACACUGGUACAUGAAACAGUUGGGGAACACAAAAAGUACAUGAUCUUUUAGAAUGACAAAGAGUCAUGCUAUGUCAUUUAUUCAAACUUCUACUCUUCUACUGUCUGAAAAAUGCAGACAGUAACAAGCAAAAAUGGCAAAAAAAUUCUCAUUCACCUUAUCAGGACAAUUCUUUGGAAAUAACUCUAUAAUGUGAGUUAACAUAACAUUUUAAAAAGUUUUCACAAAUUGUGCAAGUAAAUGCUUAAAUUUCAUACACAUUAUUUCAAUUUGGAAUUUUAUUCUCUUUUCUACUCCUCCUGUGUUAACCUAUGAGCAUUUUGCACAAAAUUGGGCAAAUCACAAUGCUGAAAACUGAA